UAAAUCUUUUUUAUUUGUGGCACGAGCAUCAAGUGACGUUCUUGUUUAUUUUGCAGCACUUCCGGUUCACCUCCUGA
rnacentral:lncRNA from 1 species